UGAGGUAGUAGUUUGUAUAGUUUUAGGAUCACACCAGAUCUUGGAGAUAACUAUACAGUCUACUGUCUUUC
rnacentral:pre_miRNA from 1 species